rnacentral:rRNA from 1 species
UACGGGGGGGGCAAGCGUUGUUCGGAAUUACUGGGCGUAAAGGGCUCGUAGGUGGCCAACUAAGUCAGACGUGAAAUCCCUCGGCUUAACCGGGGAACUGCGUCUGAUACUGGAUGGCUUGAGAUUGGGAGAGGGAUGCAGAAUUCCAGGUGUAGCGGUGAAAUGCGUAGAUAUCUGGAGGAAUACCGGUGGCGAAGGCGGCAUCCUGGACCGGCAUUGACGCUGAGGAGCGAAAGCUAGGGGAGCAAACGGG